rnacentral:rRNA from 1 species
CCUACGGGUGGCUGCAGUGAGGAAUAUUGGUCAAUGGACGAGAGUCUGAACCAGCCAAGUAGCGUGAAGGAUGACUGCCCUAUGGGUUGUAAACUUCUUUUAUAUGGGAAUAAAAUGUUCCACGUGUGGGAUUUUGUAUGUACCAUAUGAAUAAGGAUCGGCUAACUCCGUGCCAGCAGCCGCGGUAAUACGGAGGAUCCGAGCGUUAUCCGGAUUUAUUGGGUUUAAAGGGAGCGUAGGUGGAUUGUUAAGUCAGUUGUGAAAGUCCGCGGCUCAACCGUGGAAUUGCAGUUGAAACUGGAGGCCUUGAGUGCACACAGGGAUGCCGGAAUUCAUGGUGUAGCGGUGAAAUGCUUAGAUAUCAUGAAGAACUCCGAUCGCGAAGGCAAGUGUCCGGGGUGCAACUGACGCUGAGGCUCGAAAGUGCGGGUAUCAAACAGGAUUAGAUACCCCUGUAGUC